rnacentral:rRNA from 1 species
ACGUUAGCGGCGGACGGGUGAGUAACACGUGGGUAACCUACCUAUAAGACUGGGAUAACUUCGGGAAACCGGAGCUAAUACCGGAUAAUAUUUCGAACCGCAUGGUUCGAUAGUUAAAGAUGGUUUUGCUAUCACUUAUAGAUGGACCUGCGCCGUAUUAGCUAGUUGGUAAGGUAACGGCUUACCAAGGCGACGAUACGUAGCCGACCUGAGAGGGUGAUCGGCCACACUGGAACUGAGACACGGUCCAGACUCCUACGGGAGGCAGCAGUC